rnacentral:snoRNA from 1 species
UGGGCGCUUUCGAAAGCGCCCAUAAAAAAUAUGGGCGCUUUGGAAAGCGCCUAUAAAAAAUAUGGGCGCUUUCGAAAGCGCCCAAAAAAAAUAUGGGCGCUUUGGAAAGCGCCCAUAAAA